rnacentral:lncRNA from 1 species
UUUUUUUUCUUUUUCUUUUUUCUUUUUCCUUUUCUUAGCAAUAUUUCUGGUUGUUUCUAAAAAAAUUGUUGGCAGUGCUAGGGAUGGGACUCUGAGCCUGGUACUCAGUAGUAGGUAAGUACUAAACAAUUGUGCUCCAUCGCCAAGGCCUCUGUCCUGCUCUUGAAAUUCCAGUAAUUGCCAGCUAACAAAUACAGUUACCAUAUGAAGUCCGCACUCGUCCGUGUUAAAUGGGUGAUUAUAUCAGGCUUCGGAGGCAGGUACUAUGAACUCAGAAAAAUUGGAAUGUGGAGGACAUCAGCUUCGUGUGGUUUCGAAUGUUGAGAAUCAUUUUCUGUAUGCAUUCAUAUUUCUUCCAGAGACUGCACUGUUAUUUAGUUCAAAAUGUCACACGACAGCAGAUAUCUUUGGUUUAUAUAAUCCAGGCAAUUAUGGUGUGAAUUCUGCUGUUGGUGGUAGUUAAAGCCUGUGUAUCUAACUCCUUUUUUAGCCUCUGAUUUUUUAAAAAAAAAUCAAUUUAACUCAUCCUUUUAUUUUAAAAACUUGAAUUUGAAUGGGUUCCAUUAACAGAUAUUUUUAAAUGACAAUCAAGUCUAGGGUACUGCUAGCUCCGAGCUGAACACAAUCCCCAGCCCUUAAGCUGGAUAGGAAAUCAAUUUCAGGCUGGUUGCAACUGCAAUGCGGAGCUAUAGCUGACUUGUAAACAGCCCUUGUAUCAACAAAUCACAGUUGACAAGCCACAGUGAAGUGUGUGAUCUUGCUAUCUAAAUGGCUGCCCUGAUUGCAAGUCCACGUGGAGUGCAUCUCCCAGGGCCAUGGAGGAUAAUUAAAGCCACCAUUGGUAGAUGAUUCCAGAUUACCUCAUUACAGAAAACUUAGGCCUGCCUUCAUUCAUUUCACGGAAAGGCAAAUGGCCAUUCAGUUUACCCCAAACUAUAUUAUUUUCUUUCCUUUUUAGUUGGAAUAUACAAGUGAAUAUCAAAUUAUAAACACAACUAGAAGCCAUUCUCCUUUUUAAUGAAUUCACUGUGGGGUCAUGCUUGUCAUUCUUGGGUGUACUGUCACUGAGUUUCUUGUGAUCUGUAGCCUCUUCCUUGUUUGUCCUGAUGCUAGGGAUUGGUAGGUGAUUCCUGUCAGCCUUUUGUUUCCCAGAGUGGCUAGAAUGUAUCCUGUGGUUGUAGAAUGAGCAUGCUUAGUAUUCCUCUGGCUUAAUUGAAUUUAAUACAUGAUCCUUAAAACUAACUUGUAGGUCUGGAGUUAUUAAAUGCUUUACUCUUUAACAGCAUAUACUUUAUCUGCCGUGGCCCGAGCUAGUGAAUGAUUUAAAUAAAGAGGGAGCUUCUUUCUUACCAAGCUGGUGCCACUUUCAUUUUCAUAUUGCUGCUGAGUACAGGUAAGAAGGCCGUGGGCAUCCAAAGGUCUACUCUAUAUGGCUGUGUACCAGGCUAGACUGGAGGCAGAGAAGCUUAGCUGGGCAUGGGUAGGUGAUGUUGGUCAGCAGUGAGUACAUGGGCAAAGAACACACACCCGAGAACAGCUUCGGAGAACUGGUUCAGUUUAUUGCGGAGAAUAAAAGCUAUUUAAACUUUUGGGCUGUGAGUAGGGGCUACUGGGGUCAAUGUACAUCAUUGGCCAGGGUGCUGGGAAUGCCUCAUUUGCAUGAAGAGCAAUUCCAGAUGAUGCUGGACAUGACCUUAUAAAGGGAAAGGAAGUUUAAUCUGGCUAUAGGCUAUAUGACCUCCUCCAGUGGGCAAAGGUUGGGGACACAGGGUUGUGUGCACCAGGACAUGCAGAUCCCAUGUAGGGGCAGAAUGACCAUACUCUUGUUGAUCUCAAGAUAAAAUUUCAGAGGUUCGGACAUGCCUCCAGGCCUGCAGCUCCUUAACCCUACAUAUGAUCACUAGGUGUUAUAUUUGAAUGUAUUGUAUGGGGCUCUCAUACUUGCUACCUGGUCCAGUUUCAUUUUAAGCCUUCAGUUUUUAUGAAGGUUGACAAUGAUGUUUAGAUAUUGGUUCAAAAAAGAGCAAAUUAGCAUGUGAUAUUUUCAUGUUGUUGAUUUCUAAUCAUUUGCAUUUUAGAAUUUAUUCUUGUUGACACAUUUUUCUAUUUCAACUUUAGUUUCUUUAACACUAAAAUUUAAUAGUGUAGUUAAAUAGUGUCUGCUUUUCAGAAUAAGGACAAAGGUUGCCAAAAGUGUACGUUGUGGUAAAAGUACCCAUUACAAGCUGUCUGACCUAAGUUCAAUUCCCACUACUCACGUUGUGGAAGCAGAGAACUAGUUCCUGACACCCACUUUUGUAUACACAACACACACACACACACACACACACAUACACACACACACACGCAUGCAUGCACGAACAUGUAUGUGCACUAAAGAAAAAUGAAAUUUUAAAAUGUACAGAUUAUUUUUGAUAGCUCAGGUGAACAGGACCAAAAUAUUGUAUUUAUAUUUCAGUGCACAUUGGUCACCCGCACCUUAAUUUGAUAGUAUGAAAUGUUUUUGAGCUGUUAAACUAUGUAAGAGUAUGUAUGACAAUAUAGCCUAUAUCUAGCCGUUUGCUACUUACAUUUAUCAAACUGUUACCACAUUGUUGACACAUUUUAAAAGUAAAUAAGUAGACUUACAGUUUCAAGACAGAGAUGUAGAGAGCUGGACACAGGUCCCGCCACACUCCAAUAAGAUUGAGACUGGUAAUUAACAAGAGAACCAAGUUCACAGAGAAAAUGGCCAUUUUAAAAUCUGGAGCUCAGUAGGUGCUUUCUGAGACAUGAGACAGGACCUGACCAUUUGCUACAGGGGCAGAAGCCUUCAGAUGCCCUAGAAGUAGAUAGGAAGAGUAAAUUAGAAACUAUAACACAUUGCUGGGGCAGGGGGAGGUGUGGGCUGGCUGUCUCUCCUGGGGGAAGGGUUCUACUCGUUCACAGACUUUUCUGCAGGAACCUCACCUGGAGUCAUAGGAGGACCAGUGAGAAAACACAGAAAGCUCACAGUGCUGGCUUGGGAACCAUGGAGAAAUCCAUUCCCCCUUAGGAGAAAAAAAAAAAAAAAAAAAAAAAACAAGAGGUACCUAGCACUGCUCGGAACAGCCCGAGGACAGACAGCAAUGGCCAAGGCAUGACCAAGGUUGGAUUUCCAGGUAUGACAUGAGUGCUUUUGAAGGUACAAGUGUCAGGGACACAUGCUGGCAAGAGCAGCCUUACAUUUGUGUCACUGUCCUGGCUAAUCUUAGGAGGAAGGAGUGGGUGGCUUUUCUUCUGCUUACUUAAAUGUCUUCCUUUUAAUGCAUGGAGGGAUGACUCCUCCUCUCUUUCCUUGGUGUUUUUUUUUUUUUUUUUUUUUUUGGAGGAGGAAGAUUUAUUUUAUACCUUCUUUGUCACCACUUCAGGGCCUGGGAAUGUGAAGUUGUAGUUGUAAGUAGAAACAUUUAUUUAGCCAUUAAAAAUGCAGUGCCUCUUUUCAUAACUGUAAAGAAUUUACAUUGCUUCAGCUGAUGAGCCUUACCAUAUAUCCCCUAGGUCUAUCUCUUGUCCUUGGUAGUGGCUGUUCCUAUGUUACAGGUGGGAACUGAAGCCUGAGGGGUUACCUGGCUUGACAGAGAUUGAAAAUCUGUUAUGGGCCCACCUUAGUACUUGAAGUCUGCCAGCCUAACCUUCCAGGAUUUAAGUGUAUGAACUAUGUAAAAUGAUAGACCUUUUAAGAAGGUUUUAUUUUAGUUUUAUUAUUUCUGUGUGUAUGUGUGUGGGUAUGUGCAUGUGAACGUAAGCGCCCAUGGAAUCUAGAAAAGAGCAGUGAAUCCCCGUGAGCUGGAGUUACAGGUGGAUGCGAAUUUCCUGACUUGGGUGUUAGGACCUAAAAUUGGGUCUUUUGCCAUAGCAGUAUAAGUUUUUAACCUUUGAGCCAUUUUUCCAGCCCCCAGCCCUUUUUGAGAUAGAGCCUCAUGUUGAUGUCCAACCUGUUUUGUAGCCAAGCUAGCCUUAAACUCCUGAACCCUGAUUCUCUUGCCUUUCCUUCCCACGUGCUAAGACUAUAGGUGCAUAACAACACAUUCAGUUGGAAGGAUGGCUUUUCUUAAAAAGAUUUGGAGGAAGAAAAUAACCAAAAACCAACUGUUGACAGCUACUUGAAUUCUUAUGCUUAGUAAACCUUUGUCAAAGCAUUGACUACUAAAACCACUUGGAGAAAUUGAUUGAAUAAGUGAACGUUUAACAGUGUAGCACUUGCUCAUUUGUCCUUAAAACUUGGAAUAGGUGAAACUGGAUAGGAAGUGAGGGAGGGAGUAAUGACUGACC